rnacentral:rRNA from 1 species
GGGGAAUAUUGCACAAUGGGCGAAAGCCUGAUGCAGCCAAGUAGCAUGCAGGACGACGGCCCUAUGGGUUGUAAACUGCUUUUAUACGGGGAUAAAACGCGGGACGUGUCCCGCCUUGCAGGUACCGCAUGAAUAAGGACCGGCUAAUUCCGUGCCAGCAGCCGCGGUAAUACGGAAGGUCCGGGCGUUAUCCGGAUUUAUUGGGUUUAAAGGGAGCGUAGGCCGCUUUGUAAGCGUGUUGUGAAAUUUGCCGGCUCAACCGGUAACUUGCAGCGCGAACUGCAGAGCUUGAGUGUGCGCAACGUUGGCGGAAUUCGUCGUGUAGCGGUGAAAUGCUUAGAUAUGACGAAGAACUCCGAUUGCGAAGGCAGCUGACGGGAGCACCACUGACGCUGAAGCUCGAAAGUGCGGGUAUCGAAC